rnacentral:rRNA from 1 species
AUUGAACGCUGGCGGCAGGCCUAACACAUGCAAGUCGAGCGGUGCGGCGGACGGGUGAGUAAUGUCUAGGUCUCCGCCUGGUAGUGGGGGAUAACGUCCGCUUACGGGCGCUAAUACCGCAUACUCUCAGAUGCGCCUAGGCCGGAUUAGCAAGUUGGUGGGGUAAAGGCCUACCAGGGCGACGAUCCGUAACUGGUCUGAGAGGAUAAGCAGACACACGGGAACUGAGACACGGUCCAAAAUCCUACGGGAGGCAGCAGGGGAGAAUAUUGGAAAAUGGGAGAAAGCCGGAUACAGCCAGGCCGCGUGUGUGAAGAAGGGCUUCGGAUUGUAAGGCACUUUAAGUUGGGAGGCGUUACCAACAGAUGAAGCACCGGCUAACUUCGUGCGAGCAGCCGCGGGAAUAC